rnacentral:hammerhead_ribozyme from 1 species
AUCCAGCUGACACGUCCCAUAUAGGACGAAGUAGCGCGCGUCCUGGAU